AUGUGGGAAGACGAUCUCCGCGUUGUUCACCAGGACACGUUGCGUUCUAGGGGCUUUGUUGGAUCCACGACUCGCUGGUGCAGAUCUUCAACUGUUUCCUCUUGGAGGAUCAAAUUUACAGUUUUCUCCUGCCUGUUUCUUUACGCCCUCUGCAGUGUGACUUGGCAGUUCUUCCCAUCAAGGAGGGGAACCUCUUUUCCCACCCAUUGGUCUCCCAGGAUACCGUCCAAUUCUUGCCAGCCCAUGAAAGACUGGAGCAGUGGCGAUGCCCAGAGGCCUCGUGUGCCUGGCUCUCCUGUGUGCCGUCUCCACUCUGAAAGCUCGUCCUGGAAGGUCAGAGACUUGUGUUACAGAGCCAGCAUCCCAGCCAUGGCUGUCUCAACCCGCUCCUCAGCUGCCUGCAGAGACACGUGUGAGCCCAGCCAAGAUGAGCCAGCCUGCCAGAGGAGCCAAAAUGCUGAUUGAGCCACAGACAGGUGAGGCAUAAAAACUGUUGCUUUAGGGAGCACACUGGAGCCAUUUGUUCUGCGGCACUGCCUGACCGACACAUGUUCCAUCUUUUGGGGAGUCUUGAAGUAUAUAAAGUGUAGACUAUAGAAAAGGAGUACAUGCAGAGGUUAUCCCGGUUACACACGAGGCCAGAAUUUCACUCUGGUUUUCAGGUUCUGAACAGGGCUUGUCUUUCACCUGCCAAAUCUCUGGAUAUUGUCAUGAAAUGCAUCCUUGGUUAGGUAGGAGCUGGUGGUCAUUAGAGGUCACCCUCAGGUGGCAUGGCCUUUCCACUCACACCCCCAGACCUUCUGGGGAGGAGUUAGGGCUGGUGGGGUAGCUGGCCUCCACUGAUUAUCACAUGUGAGUCAGACCCACCGCAUCCUGAUACAUCUGACACAGCCCGCUCUUGGACAUUGGGAAGAAGCCAGCUUGGAUAAGUGUGAGAGUCCGGGUCCUCGUACAGGAGAUGUUUAAUAAAGCCCCUUGGUUAAAUGUCUGGGUGGUGGGAGACGUGCAGGAAGAGACUGCUUUCAGGGGUCCUGUCACCCGGCCUGAGCAGCGCUGGGGAGAAGGCUCAUGCGAAGGGCCCUAGGAAACAUGAAAGGGAGAGGAUGGAGGUUGCUUCACGGGGAAGCUCACUUUGAAGGAGCUGAUUGUUAAGUUUUGAUGUUCAGUGCAGAGUGAGGGGAGAAUGGCCUGAAGCAAAAUCCAGGGGACAAUGAGAAUGAAAAACACUUCGCUGGGCGACAAUGUCCCAUGUCAACACUUCCCCAUAGAACCUCCUGCCCUGAUGGUCCGGCUGUUGAGCAUUAAAAAUGUGGCUGGCAGGACUGCAGAAUCGAGUUUAAGUUUCAUCUACAUUGGCCUAACCUAGACAGCCGUGGACCAGUGGCUGGCAUAUGCGACAGCAGCUCCAUGCAAGGUGCAUGCUGUGUGCUCAGUUGCGUAGUUGUGUCUGACUCUUUGCAAUCCCAUAGACUGUAGCCCGCCAGGCUUCUCUGACCAUGGAGUUUUCCUGGCAACAGUACUGGAGCGGGUUGCCAUUUCCUACUUCAGCAAAUAUUCCUGACCCCGGGACCGAACCCAUGUCUCCUGCGUCUCCUGCACUGGCCGGCAGAUUAUUUACCACUGAGCCACCUGCAAGGUAGAGCUACACAUUUGUUUUUCUGUAACAAAAACUGUAGAGCUAUUUUUUAAGGAAUAUGCUGGGCUUUGAUUUAGUCGUGACUGAUUUCCAUUCAUCUACCUGCCCAAAUUUCUUCUGUCUACAGGAGGGGAGCUUCCUCUGUUCAGACAGACCCAGCACUCACACUUUCAACAAGUCUACAUUUUUAUUGAAUUCCCACUGUGUACAAGGUACCCUGCUUGGCAACACAGGAUUAAAAGCAGAAAAAAAAGGUUAUUCUUUUUCUUUAAGCUCUGCUGUUAAAAAAAAAAAGUUUUUAAAAAUGCAAGUGUGGCUUUGAUAACCCUUUGGAGUAAAAUUAUUUAAAUUAGAAAAUUAUGAAUUUACAGCAAUAAGUAAAUGAUGUGAUUUAGAGAAAGCUCUUCUUAAUUCUACAGCUUGGCAAAUUUGAUUUCUACUGUCAUUGAAGAUGAUGUAAUUGUGCCUUAAUAAGCA
ensembl:lincRNA